rnacentral:rRNA from 1 species
UACGAAGGGGGCUAGCGUUGUUCGGAAUGACUGGGCGUAAAGGGCGCGUAGGCGGAUGGCACAGUCAGAUGUGAAAUUCCCGGGCUUAACCUGGGGGCUGCAUUUGAUACGUGUGAUCUAGAGUGAGGAAGAGGGUCGUGGAAUUCCCAGUGUAGAGGUGAAAUUCGUAGAUAUUGGGAAGAACACCGGUGGCGAAGGCGGCGACCUGGUCCUUGACUGACGCUGGAGGCGCGAAAGCGUGGGGAGCAAACAGG